UUAUAUGAAAAAAAUAAUUUGAUGCAGACUGACCACUGACUGAUUUGAAUUUGUCACUGAUAAGUUACAGAAGAAACUGUGAAAAACACCUACUAUGUCAAGUUAAAUUUCUUUCAUGGAACACUUCUUCAGCACUCUUAAAAGUUCCUGGCAGUGGCAGUUCGGUCUACAUAGCGUGAGGAGUUGUCAGCUUUUAUCUUUCUCCUCUUUAGUUCUGCAUCGUGAGCUGGUCCCCAACCCUGUGUGAUGUCCAUUAGCCAGCAGACAGGAUAUAGGUAUCCCACUGUGACCUGGUGGAACUGCUGAACUGAAAUGGUUGAAAAUCAGAAGAUUCACCUAGUAAAUUAUUUAAUGCUACAUAAAUUUUUAAAUACAGAAACGAAAGCAUUGUUCAUCACAUUUUUAAAAAAUGAGGUUCUAAGUUUCACCGUUCAAGGAUUUCAAAGCAUUGUAUCCGAUAUUUUAUGCUGAUCGCUUCACCCUUAUUUUACAACAUAUAGCAAAAUUUUAGUCAUUUUAUGCAUUUUAAUUUUUAGUAUUGCAGAUCACAUCAAUAGAAAUAGGAACUUUAAAAAAUAAUAGUUUAAAUUGUUUUAAUAAAAGAAUUAGAAUUAACUUAAAUAGAUUAGUCUCUGUAAUAUUUCCAUGUUUAUUAGUAAAAAUGCCUGUUCCAUGAAGCUGGGGCCAAAAAGAGAUAGCCAAGAUCCUUGAACACAAGGGGUUGCUACCACCUUGUGGCAACAUUAUGUGCCCACACCUAGGUGUAAAAACUUUUAUUUUCAAGUAGCUCCAGCAUCACAUUUAUCAUUGAAUGUCCUCACUGCCAGUCCAGAUUUUCAGUAAAACAAAAAUCAAUUCUUGGAUCGACCACACAAAAUAAUCACUGUAUUUAAUUGUGCUGGUGUCAUUGCUUUAUUUGCACACAACCACUGAUUCCAGUCAAAGAGAUCAAAGUAGAAAAAAGUUAUAUGUGCCACUAGUGUCUGUUUGAGCUCUCAAGUGUUACGUGCAACCACAGACAUUUACCAUAUGCAACAAUAGUACUGACGAGAGAGCAAUAAGUUGAUUCACUGUCUUCACCAUCAGAUUAAAUAAUACUGUCAUACUAAACAACAUAAAAGUUAAUAACAUUCCAGUGAUAUUGCAGGACAAGUUCGUUUGUUUCAACAAUAUGUACAGCACCACAAUGGAUUAACAAUGUAAAAAAUAAGAGGCUCAAUUUUGUAGCAAAAUAUCUGUACAUUUAAAAAAAAGACUUUAUUUUUUGUCCAAUGACAUGUCUUCGUUU